rnacentral:misc_RNA from 1 species
CGCUGGCACAUAGCAGCAUGUUUGUUCGAAUUCGAAUUUUUAACGAAAUUCACAAAGCGAAAGUUUUAUUGAGAUCUGAAUUUCUUUCGGCAGUGAUCGAAAAGUUUAAAGUAUGGAAAGCUCCUUAUUAGCUCACGAACAUUACUUCUGCUGUUAAAAAUGGACUUUUUAACAGUGGAUUUUGUUAAAAUGGUGCCGCGAAAGAUUCCAUGGCUCCAACGAGCGGUUGUAUUUUUUUCAACUGCUGUAUUUAUUUGUGAAUGGCAUGGAAACUCUCUUGCUUUAGCAGUCUAAAUUUACAUAUUAUGUAAAUUGGAUUCGUGUUGUAUUACAAGACGAAUUUUCAACUGGCUGGGACUGAAUAUGGGGGAGUGAUAAGUGCAUUCAAGUCUUGGGAAGAAGACCCGAUGACUUGAACCCGCUUGAACACAACAUUGGCGCGCGUGAUUUUGACCAAAGUCUCUUGGCUCAACCUUGAUUUCUAAAAUGAGAAAGAGUCAUGGGCAUCAAAAGAUUUAGAGCAGUUUCUAAGGAUGAUGAGAACCAUCAACUUCAGGCAUAACGUCGAACAGACAAGAUUUGUCAUCUUCCCGGGAGAGACUCCUAACAUGUCAGUUCUUGUGACAGUCCUAGAGUCCAUGGGCAUUGAAUGGGACAUUGCAUAUUAUCAUUGCAAUCCUGUAGUACUACAAGAGAGCUGUUCCUUGACAAAGUCAACACACCCUCUCAUUUUGACAAAAACAUGUCAACCAAUCAAAGGAGAUGACCUAUUCACGCAGUCUGCAGAUGAGUUCUUUGCAGAAAAAGACACUGGAAUCACCCACCAAAGGCAAUUUAAGCCAGUUAAAUUGUAUGUAAAAUUGCUAAACCUUUUUGUACAGGACAAAACUCUAUAUGUAGUUGAUGCCUGCGGAGGUUCAGGAUCAUAUGUGCCUUAGCUUGCCAAGAACUUGGUGUAAAAUGCCUAGUUCUUGACAGGUCUGCUAUUAAAGUGAGAUUAAUCCAGCAGAGGGAGGGCUAAAUAAAUCAGGUAAACCCAGCAAAUACAGUAUGUACCUGACAGUAGUGAUCUUAAUAUGUUGUUUUUUUUGAAAGUGUGUAUGGUAGAGUUGCUGUUCAUUGCCGUACCAGCUUCUAUGUUAAGCUCAAGAAUGUAUUUUAUUAAUGUAAUUUAUUUAAUUAAUUAAUUAUAUGAUUAAUUGAACAA